rnacentral:lncRNA from 1 species
UGAGCUGGCUUGCAUUUCGGUUUGUUUGGGUUUUGUUUUUUUGUUAAAUUUAAGCAAGAGGGGACAAAAUCUCAGCCCUUCCAUGCCUUUUUUCCUUUUAUCUUGCUUGGUUUCCGGGAAGAAGAGUCAAUCUGAGUUAGCAUCUGAGACGAUCUUUUCAGGAUGGUUUAUGCUUUUCUUUCUGAAGGUUCAUUUUAAUUGAAUUAACCUAUUAUUUAAAUGUAGCUAAUUAUGUAGCAAUUAUAUACUUUUACUAGUCUGCAGUACCGUUGUGGGUUUACAUUUAAUGUUUGUAACUUGUACGGUAUGGCAGCUUUGAAAUUGGGGAAGCAAGUUGAUGAUCUUUGAAACUGGCAAAUUGCAUUCAUGGCGUCCUCAGGGAUUCCCCCCAACUUAUCUGUAAUAAAUAGAAGAGACAUACUAUCCAAAACUAAGGAGAAAGGACAAGUGUCGGGUAUGUAUUCGCUCGUGGUUCAAUGAAUAGAAUUGCGUGUUAGUAAUAUGAAAGUAUUAGGUUUGAAUUUAAUUACUUUUCGCAACCGGAUAUUAAGACCAAAAAAUAGAAUUAGGUACCGUAAUUCAGUGAUUGUUUCAUAAAAAAUAAAAUGGUCACUAAUUUAUUAAUCACAUAGUGUGAUCGUUUUUGAGUUUUGAGAACAAUUUUAUAUGGCCCCUAAAAACAAAUUACAAUUGGCAGAGCAAACUAUAGAUUUCAAUUUACAUGUAUCUAACCUAAUUCACUGACCGCUUCAUAUAAAUGGUCACUAAAAAUCUACUCAUGAUCAUUAAUGAUAUUUUUUGGUUUUGAAUUUUUUUUAUACAGUCACUAAAACAAAUUGCAAUUGGCCGAGCAAACUAUAGAUGUAUCUAAUUUUCAGAGGAAGGAAAAAUAAUAUACUCAAAACCUUAGUGAACACAAAUUAAGAGGAGUUAGCUAGAGUUCAAAUUCAGAAUUUCAGGGUAUCCGUAGUUAUGAUUUACUUGCAUACUGGUCGGCAAGAUUUAUCAGUCGGGUUGGGACAUUUGGAUGGGAGAUAUAUGAAUGUUUGGCAGCACACGUGUAAACGAUGGGGAGAGUUAAUUAUAACUUACUAUUUAUCAGUGCCAUCCUUGCGUAGGGGUCGUACUAAUCUUUUCCGUAUCAUUUCAAUUUUAUCGGAUGCUCCGAAAGGACGAGUUAAUUAUAACUUAUAAAGGAUAUCGAAAGAGACGAAUUGUAGAAACGGCCUUUUGAGUGGUUUCGCUUUUGUCUGCCAUGUUAUCGGUGGCGACAACAUUAGUAAUGAUCAACACAGCAACCCCCACAUUCUUUCCUUUGUAACACAUGCAAAUGCCCGGUUAUGUCGCUUGUCUUCCCGCCGGCCGACGUGUGUCUUUGCUACAUAAUACGUAUCAUUAUUAAGUUGACCUCAUUAAAAGAACCAAAUCAGUACGUACACUCAUUCGAAUACUGGGAUUCGAGAAUCUUGCAUGCCACAUGCCAAAUACACCUGAACAUAUUAAUGUACAAAUUAAACCCAUGAUAUAACCGCUUACAUGAACGAAUCAUGAAUUGUCAAGCAAACGUCUGAAAGUAAAUCACACAACUACAUCGAAGAGACCCCACCGUCCUGUUAGUAUCGGCCUGGUUAUACAAAGUUAGUCAAUGGGCCGAGGUUCUGAAAUCCUAGUUGGGCCACGAAUGGGCUUCUACUGCCUGCCCAAUCACAUUUAUGCGGGGCGUCCCAAGCGGAUAUUACAAACGGGUAAGCAUGCGGAAUCCCGGUAACGACUAACCGCCUUUGACUUUUCUUACCACCUAGAGUUCAAUAAAUUGUUGUUGCGGAAUCGAAAUUUUCCGUUUUUCUCAUUUCAAAAUUUUGAAUUACAGCUAUUAAUCAGCAUGCCUGAAGAACACGGAGGAGGAGGAGGAGGAAGAAGAGAUAAGGUGAGGGAUUUGAUCGAGAAAGCUACCGAUUCAACGGCGGCUUACGUAGACCCUCGUCUCCUCACGGCCAUCAAAUCGACGGUCCGCUACUCGGAUUCCGAGCUCCGGCUCGCCGCUCAAACCCUAAUGGAACUCAUGAAACGCGAUCACUCUCAGGUUCCGCUUUUGAUUUUCAUACUUCUUCCAUCCUCGUAGUGCUCAUUUUCGCUUACUGUACUCCUUGGCGAUUUCAAUUUGAUUCAAGUUACGCUAUAUGAUGGAACAAGACGUCGGUAGUUUUGGACAGUAAGGUUUUAGGGUUUCAAAUUUAGUACAAAUCCAGUGUCGUAUCAAUUUCGAAUUUCUGGCGGGAAUCUCAAUGAAUUUUUGCGUAUUGGUCUUUGUUGAGAUUGAGGCGUUUAUGUUUUCUUCAGGUGCGUUAUCUCUCCCUUUUGAUAGUCGACGAACUUUUCAUGCGAUCGAAGCUAUUUAGAAGCAUUCUUGUAGAGAAUUUGGACCAGCUGUUGACCUUAAGCGUUGGUUUCAAAAGAAAUCUCCCGCUUCCUGCUCCACCUGCUGUUGCCACUGUUCUGCGAUCAAAGGCAAUUGAAUUCUUGGAGAAGUGGAAUGAAUCAUUUGGGGUUCACUAUCGACAAAUCAGACUAGGAUUCGACUAUCUCAAGAACACUUUGCGCCUGCAGUUUCCUAACAUACAGGGGAACAUAGCACGCAUUCGGCAGGAGAGGAGCGAGAGGGAGGCGAGGUCGAAAGAGAUUCUGCAGAAAAAGUUUGAAACUCUGAAGGAAAAUCUGUCUUCUAUGAAAGAAGAGAUUCAGGAGACGAUUGAUGAGAUUAACCAAUGCCUGGAAAUCGUUACUUGUCAAGAGGACAGGCCCCUCAGCCCUAUAGACGAGGAAGAUUACGAGGGGGAGUUUCGAUCGUUAGAGCUGCAGCAAAUCCGUAUCAACUCGUUAAAGGAAGCGGAAAAGGUCCAGGAGGAUGCUGAGAAUAGAGUGGUUUUCGAUACGCUGAGGGAGCAUUACAAACUUCUGGUGACGAAGCAUCUAGUUUCUGUGCAGGAAUCGAUCUCUGUUCUUGUAAGGGUUGAAGUGACGACGAAUGCUAGACUCCUGGAUUCUAUGCUGAAAGAACUCAUCGACUUCCGGAAUCAAAUCCAAUCAGUGAAGAAAAAAUGUGCCGAAUCAGGCUGUUCUCUCCCUGCCGUUACAAAGACUGAUAAUAAAGAAGAGGAAGAAGAAGAUUUUUGGGAGGAAGGUAAAGUUGAGAAAUCGACUGGAAUUGGGGCCUCCAGCGGAUCGUCGAACAAGCCGAAUGGAAGUUCAUCCGAGCUGUCAACUUCCCGUGAGGUGAAAAAACAGUCGCCUGAAUCUGGCGACAGUAACUCGAAACGUAUCAAGACUGAUUCCAACCCUCUUAAAAGUAAGCUCCUAGAAGAAGCGCCGGUCGUACAACGGGGCUCGUUCUUGGAUAAUUGGGGUCCGAAUCGGGACGUAUUGGCGAACCACAGGGGUAUGGAGAUUGAUAAUCACUGGGGUAGGGUUGACUACGAUGCAGUGAUUCCAGCAGAAAGAAUUGCAGAGCUGAACAUGUCUGCUACUGUAUACAAAGAAAAGCAAGUCGAAAUCCAGCCAUGUCGUGCCCCGUUACGAAAAGGCGGACUUUGUCCAAGGAGGGACUUGAGAGUGUGUCCUUUCCACGGACCUGUCGUUCCCAGAGACGAUGAAGGAAAUCCCAUCGUUCAAAGCACGGAGUCGACUCCUUCGACAAGUCUCGAGCCAUUUCCAAAGUCUGAAAAUCCGAACAGCUGCAAAGAUCUCGACUUUGGAGUCGAUCUAGCAAAGCAAGCAGUGAGAAACGUGAGGGAUAGAGAGAAUGCUGGUGCCAAGAGGAGGAAGAUGGAGAUGCAGUCGAUGAAACGUGCUAAGCGUGCUAAGAUACGGGAACAUAACGAAACGGUUCUGAAAGAUGCCGCAUCGGCCUCAAGUUCGAGAUCUGGAUGGGGUGGAGAAGGAGAUGUUGAUGCUGCAUUGUCAUCUAGAAACAAGAAGGAAACCCUUGCAUCGAUGCUAAGCAAGAAAGUAACGAGGAAGGACAGGCUAUCGCAACGACUUUUGAGUAUGAAAGCCAGCGAUUCCACCUUCAGGCAGCUUACUCAGGGUGCUGACUCAACGUAUCGAGACGCCUUCCCGAAUCAGUGGUAGUACAGCCAGAUAUCGAGUUAGCUCGCUCGGUCGCUCCUCGAACAUUAUUGUGGCGUAGAACUGGCUUGUGCAGCGAAGGCACAGGAUAUGUAAAAAGAUUCAUGGUGGCUACAUUCAGGUAUAGAUUCUGAUUUAACUUCAUUAUUGUCUUAUCUUAUGAAUAAACAUCGUUUUGCUUUGUAUUAGACGCUUUGUACAGAAUGAGAAACUGAUAUGAUGGUUAUGAUACCUUAUCAGACCGAACAUUAUGGUUGAACCGGGAUAUCGAGCAAUGCUGAGUUCGAUUUGGAAUCCUUUAAACUGUCGGUGAUUGUAUCAAAACUGAAGACAUCGAUUAGCGAUUCAAAGCUCGCAUUCUUUUCACUUCAAGUCAGAGUUCCGUUGUCUGAUCUUGCUAGCUAACUUGGAGGGCUAAUGUAGCAUCACCCGAUCUGAAAUGGCAGCUAACCAUCCCCCGGGUCUUGUACUCAUCACCUAUAAUACUAUGGAAGCUAACCAUGUUAGCUGAUUUAAGUGAAAACCUUGCGUCUCACUAAUUCGAAUCAUUAUGUGAAAACUUUCGAAAGAGUGAGGUUUAUACAAUCUCCCUAAAUUUUGUACAAAGGAUUGGGGAUUAUGAACUUCGAAUGCCUUACAUUUUACCGGUCAAAGGCUUUAAUACUCUAUUAAGAAUCAUCGUCUCAUAACAACUCAAGUUAUUGCAAUAUAAUAAUUUUUUAUUCGUAUUUGAUUCUAACUCAAAACUAUAUAUGCUAAGAUUAUGUUUCUUCAUUUUUUAAUAGAAAAUGAAAGAUGUGACACACUCCAUGACAAAAAGAGAGGCAUUAGAUUACUUUGGAAUUGAGCCUUGGUCAUAAAAAGGAAUCAUUAAUAAUAAAAAAUACUUUUAAAAUAAAUAAAAAAGACUUUUAAAAUAAAUAAAAAAUAAAUCCAUUUCCGGAAAUCUCCGAACUCGGCCUCUCUCUCUCUCUCUCUUCCAUUAGUCAUCUUCUUCUUCUUCUUCUUCUUGAAGACCGUUUGCGCCCAUACUCUCUCUGCAACUUCCACCCAUCUGAUCUCUCAUCAACCGGCCGCCACUAAUCCUUCGCUGAUCCGUUUUCAGAUUUUCCAUUUCCACUCAUGCACAUCCAUCCACACAGAAACCUUUCACCACCUUUUCCUCCUUCUUGUUGAUCGAUUUGACUUCCAAUCCCUAAUCGUCAAAUGGAAGUGGACGGCAGCCAAUGCGUGCCGUCAACGGAAGACGAGGAGACCGCCGAUCUCCACCGGCGACAUCCGUUCCCUUCUUCUUCUUCUUCCAAGCCUCACUUCAAGACCAGCAGCGGCAAUUCUCUCACCUCCUCGAUUCACACUAGUAGCGUCCACGAGUUGCUUGAAUGUCCUGUUUGUACCAACUCCAUGUAUCCUCCGAUUCACCAGGUCUGGCUCUCUCUUUACCCUCUGUUAGCGUUUGAUUGUUAUUCUUAGUCUUCCAUUGCUAAUUGGGGGAAUUUUCAGCUUGUGGAUUUCAAACUGUUUAGGGUUUUUGUUCUGAUUGGGAAUUUGAAAUGCUAGUCUUGCUUUGGUUUCUAUUUGGGCAUCUAGAAUCAUAUUUCUGAAUUGAGAAAAAAGUUGAGUUGAGGUUUCUGAAUUUAGAUAAGUCGAGAAAGUUGAGUUGAGGUUUGGAAGAGAUUGUGAGAGGAAGGCUGAAUCGAGUGAUAGAAGAGAUUCUAAGUGAAACUUUGUUUUCCCAAACUACUCAAGUGGAAAUUCAACUUUCCUGGGCAUCCUUUAUAUCCGUUCAUUCAAAAUUCGUUUCACAAGCUCUUCUCAACCUCAAUCUUAAUUCAACUUUCUUAAGAAAACAUGAUUCUACUGAUUUUGAUGGAUGAAUCUUUUUGUUUGUGCAGUGCCAGAACGGCCAUACGCUCUGUUCGACCUGCAAAGCAAUGGUGCACAACAGGUGCCCGACCUGCAGACAAGAGCUCGGAGAUAUCAGAUGUCUGGCAUUGGAGAAGCUGGCCGAAUCGCUCGAGCUUCCCUGCAAGUACAUGUACCUCGGAUGUGCUGAGAUUUUCCCUUACUACAGCAAACUCCAGCACGAAUCACUCUGCAACUUCAGACCCUACAACUGCCCUUACGCCGGUUCCGAGUGUUCCAUUGUUGGAGACGUCCCUUUCCUCGUUGCUCAUCUGAGGAACGAUCACAAGGUGGAUAUGCAUUCCGGGUGCACUUUCAACCACCGUUACGUGAAGUCCAAUCCACGCGAAGUUGACAAUGCGACUUGGAUGUUAACUGUGAGUACUUCUGUUCCUCACUUAUCCUAGAUUUCGUCAAGAAAUGAUUGAAAGCUGCAGCAUUGUUUGUUUUCUCAAUUAUCAUCGACCAGCAACUCUCACCUUGGCCUUGACUUAAUCCGAGUAAUGUGAACUGUAUUUCUUGAUUUGCUUGAAUCUUGAUUACAUGAAUCGGGAAUGAUACAUCAUCAUCUGAUCCCAAAGUUGCAUAAUAAUUGUUCUCUGCCGUUGGAUUCCAGGUUUUCCACUGCUUUGGCCAGUACUUCUGCCUCCAUGUCGAAGCAUUCCAGCUCGAAAUGGCGCCAGUCUACAUGGCAUUCCUCCGAUUCAUGGGUGACGAAGCAGAAGCCCGGAACUACAGCUACAGCCUAGAGGUCGGUGGGUACGACCGCAAGCUCAUCUGGGAAGGGACUCCCAGAAGCAUCAGAGAUAGUCACAGGAAGGUCAGGGACAGCUAUGACGGGCUGAUUAUCCAGAGGAACAUGGCGCUUUUCUUCUCAGGCGGCGACAGGAAAGAGCUAAAGCUGCGAGUUACCGGCCGGAUAUGGAAAGAACAGCACAAUCCAGAUGGAGGAGGAGCAUCGUCCUUGCCAAACACCUCUACUUAACUGGGCUGCUUUGAAAUCAGUUUAUGUUGUGUUGUGAAGCUAGUAUCUUCAGGAUCUGUAUAAAUUUAUCAUGUUCCUGAAGAAACAGCUUCUUUUGUUAUUGACGGUUAAGAAUAUUCCUUCAGAACCUGUUACCACUUUCCCUCGAAACAAUGCCAUAAUCUCAAUUCAUCCAUUGAAUCUAUAUAAUAAUUAUUAAUCAUCAGUGUUCUGUAAAGUAGCAUGAUAUAAUGAUAUAUUUAGCCUGGAGAUUCUGCCGGUUCUCAGCCUGGUGAUUUCAGGUUCGAAUACUGAGGAGCGUAUUCCUCACUGUCAGCGUUACAAAGUCGCAUAUGUGCAAGGGUUCCUAAAAAAAACAGCAUGAUGACCAUUAGAGUUGCAACCAUAGUAUUGAUGAUGUAUUCAAUCUCCAUAGACUGCAUCUCCAAGACUUAUCUGUUGAUUCAGUCUUUGCAUAGUUGGUUCGACUCAUCGCAUUCAGACGACUGAAAGUGUCAUUAGGACAGUCCAUUAAAGCUAAACUCCUGGCUUGCUCGAGGGACAGUUCCCUAUCCCUUGUGCGACGAUGCUCCGUUUACUAGCUCCUGAAAGCCAUCCCUUGCGCGCUGAUACCCUAAUGGCCAAGGAAAAUCCAAGACGACAGUUCCUAGCGGAAUGAUGCUCUGUUCACUGCCUCCUGACGGCCGAGUUGAUAACCCACCGGCCAAGGAAAAUCCAAGACAAUGACUUAGAUGCGUUCUUUCUCGACACUAGACGGCUUGAGAUUCGUUACAGAAGUCCAAAGCAUUAGUUGAAGAACCAAGGGUACUAACAUACUCCAGCCACUUCAUGUCUUGCACCAGUUCAUCCAAUCUCAGGUAUAUCUCCUCGAAAUGGGGACUGGACCGAUCAUCGGCGAUGAAAGAAUGAACCGCAUUAUUAACCUGGACCCAACUCCAACCAGGAACCUUCUUCACCUUCCUCUCCUUCAUCAGCCUGGUAAGACUGGCUUUCUCAUCCCAUCUCCUAAGACGUGCAUACAUGUUCGAUAAGAUGACGUAACUGCAGUGCUCCUCCGGCUCUAGCUCUAGCAGAUGGCUCGCCACUUGAGCUGCUAGUUCCAUGUUACCACACGCUCUGCAAGCAGCCAGUAAAGUUUUCAACACCAUGGCAUCCGGUUUAUAAGGCAUCAACUCGAUCAAGUCCUUUGCCUCGUUUAAAUACCCAGCUCGACCGAAAAGAUCUACUGCACAAGCGUAGUGCUCCAUUCGCAGUGGAAUCCCAUACUCUGAUGCCAUGGAUUUGAGAAACUUCCGGCCUUGCUCAACUAAUCCAAUGUGACUACAUGCCGUCAGAACUGCUACAAAGGUUAUAUGGUCUAACUUCACCCGGUUUCCCCUCAUUUCGGAGAAGAGUUCCAGGGCCGCAUGACGCUGGCCGUGUUGAGCAUAUGCGAAGAUUAUCGAGUUCCAAGUGAUUGCAUUGUCUUUCCUGGUCUCUUCAAAUGAUUCUCGAGCGUCUUCCAGCAUUCCGCAUUUCAAAUACAUAAAAAUCAAUGCACUAGCAACAAAGUCAUUCGACUCCAAACUGGAUUUAACUGUCAAAGCAUGAAUCUGUUUACCUAAUUGCAGAGUAGCUAGAUCCGAGCAAGAUCUAAGCGCAGCUGAGAAAGAAUAGUGAUCAGUUUCCACCAGAGAAGAUCUCAUAUGCUUACAGAACUUCAAUGCAUCUUCACUAAGCGAACUCUGUGAAAACCCAGUUAAUACAGAAUUCCACGAGACCGGGUCUUUGGACUCCAUUGAUCGAAAUACAUCCAAUGCAUCUCGCAUUACUUUAUCAUUGCAACAGAUGUACAUGGCCACCAAUGCAUUGCAGAUCGGCACGUAAUUCGGAAGCCCUUUCCUGAUAAUCAACCCAUGGAGACAUUUUCCAAGGUGAAGUUUUUCUUGAGAGCAAGCACUUAGAAUGCUAGUAUAAGUGUAUAUGUCAGGCUCAAACCCGACCUCUCGCAUUUCCACGAAAAGCUUGAAUGCAGCCUCGUUUUUACCAUGGGCAAGAUAAGCUGCGAGCAUCGAGUUCCACGUAACUACAUCCUGCGAAGAAAGAACUGCACCCUCGAAAAGUCUUUUUGCACAAUCCAACUAACCACAUUCGGAAUAAGCAGUUAUCGUAGUGCUGCACGCGGUAUUCUCAACUCAACCCCAUGUUUUACGGACUUACAGUGAAGCUGCAUUGUUAAGCUACAGAACUUUCAUCAUCAAGUAACGUCAGAAGAGGAGACAAUGAUCCAUCAUCAGGGUCUACACCUUCCUUCUCCAUACAAUCAAACAACCAAAAUGCAGAAUCUCUAUCACAAACCUUCACAAACCCAGAAAUGAGAGCGUUCCACGAUACCGAAUUGUGUUGAGGCAUGUCCUCGAACACAGUAAGAGCAUCAUUGACACUCCCGCACUUGGCAUACAUGUCGAGGAGCGCGCUCCCUGCAUAAACACUCUCGUCGAAACCCAUCUUAACAAUCUGGCAGUGCAGUUGCUGACCGGAUUCGAUCCGGCGAGCAAGAGCAGCACCCUUUAGCAAGCUGCCGAAGCUGUACAAAUCCAGAUAGAACCCACAUCUUGCUUUGGAAAUUUGAACCUCCCAAGCAGUUUCCAAGUUUCCCAAAUUCACAUACCCGGUGAUCAUAGUAUUCCAAGUGACAGAGUCUCUUUGAGGCAUUUCGUCGAACAGUUUGUGAGCAACAUCCAGGGAUGAAGUCCGGCAUCGUACGUAAUUGUUCAGUAUGUUGUUGGCCACGUAUAUAUCGGAAAAUCCUCCAACUUUGAUUGCCUGGCAAUGGUUUAUGGAACUCGAGAUAAAGCAGAGGGGGAAAAGCGCUCAAUGACAGAGGCGAAUCCUCUCAUUCGUUCAUAAGACUGAACUCUGACCAAAGCUCAAGCAAAUUAGACAGCGCUUAAUGCUUAUAGUUCGGUUUAAAAUGAACUUUAGUGGCUAUUUUGCAAAAGAACAUUAGUUUAGUGAUCAUUGAGAUAAUUGUUUUUACUAGUAUAACGCAGCAUCCUACAGCUUCCCUGCUGCCGCCAAUUCCUUUUCUCACUCGGAUGUCGAACCUCCAUUACUAAAAUCACUUCACUACCUAUGGAGCUCCUCAGUCCUCCAUUAAAUUCCCCGCCUUUUUCAAGUCUCGUCUUCCCAACUUACCGUUCCACAAUCCCACACAGUCUCCGCCCACCCUUGUUACUACUAUCAUCUUCCUCCAGGCGCCUCCGCAUCUCAGCCCAUUUCAGCCGCCGCUACCGCCGCAGAAACUCCCUCCGGGAAAAGCUCAACGACGAGCAACAACAGGUGCGUCAGUUGGCCUCUGACCAAAAUCCAGGUCUUGUUAAUUUCAAUGAAUCGAGGGAAAGUUUAGGGAACGAAUUGAAAUCCAAUUUGGAGGAGGAUUCUGUUAUGUUGUCUAGAGUAACGAACUUGGUUGAUCAGUAUGAGAACGAGCUAGAGCUUGAGCUUGGGGAGGAUUCAGCUCAAGUACAUUUGAGAAUGGAAAAAAGAAGGUUAAAUGUGAUUCCGGAGGAAAAUAGCUCUUCGGCUAAGUUUCUUAGCUCGAUUCGGGAUGCAGUGGCUCAUCCUGAAUUUGUUCCGGUACUUUCAAAGGUCGGCAAGCUGGUUUUGCUUAGUUUAGUUGCCGCAUGGGCGCUGAAGAGAUUGCUGAAUUUCGAGGAUAAGAAGAAGGAGGAAUACUCGCAGCUGGAGAAGGAAAUGAUAAGGAGGAAGAUUAAACACAGGAAGGAGAAGGAAGCUUUGGAAGGAAGUAAAUUUGAACUUGUUGUCAUCGAAGAAAGUCUGGAGAAGGCUCGAAUAGGAGAUUUCGAAAGGCCUGAGCUUGAUAAGCAACAGCUUAUGAGGAGUAUAUUCGAAUCAAGUGAUGGAAUGAGUAAAUUGGUGGCUGCAAAUGAUACAUCUGCUGCAGAAGUUGAUCCGAGAAUUCGGGAAAUCCAAGGUAUGGCGAGGAAAGCUCGAGAAACCGAGAGGGGAGAACGUUCAGUCGAGGAAGGAAGCCAAGUGUUUGAUGUAGAGUCGUUCGAUGUUCAUGACUUGGAAUCAUCAGAUGAACCGGAUGUAGAGGAGAGCAAGGGAAUUCAAGACUCCUUGAUCUUACAAGGGGAUGAUGUUUUGGAGAAUGCACAAGGUAUGAUGACCGUAGAACCGCCUUAUUAUCCGAAGAUUGAGGAAGGAGAAGAUACAUCUGAAGUUACAGAAUCAUUUUCCAAGAGUGAGUCACCUUUAUCAAGCGAAUCAGUUUUACCAAAACCAAGGGUUAUAACGUCAGUGAAAGAAGCUAGAGAGUUCCUUUCUAAGAGAAAGUAUGAAGACGUUCGGAAGUGCCAGGCUGAUUCUUUGAGCAUGUCUUGUGAUGAUAACGGCGAUCCAUUUACGUUUAACGGAAAAGAAGGCAUUGUUUCAGAAGAAUUGAAUGUCAACGGAGCAUCGAAUUCGUUACCUUCUGAUACUUUCCAGAGUUCUUCCAAGGACAGUGAAGCUUUUUUAAGCAAGGAGGAUCAUUCCCAAGUCUCCGUGGAAGAGGUUGGAAUAGUUAAAGCUGAAAUACGCUCCGAUUCCUUAAAUGACAUUGACAAUGGCAGUGAUCGAUCCCUUGGUAGUAAAAAGCCUGAAGAAAUGCCGAAGUGGCUGGAGGAACAUAGUAAUGAAUUAGAGCCGAUAUUUAAGAAGAUUGGAGACGGAUUUAAAGAUAAUUUCAAGAUUGCAAGAGAAACAGUGAAUGAGAACUCGAAUAGUUAUAGAAGUCUUGAGUCGUUGAAGCUCGAGUUCCAGGAUGAUGAUGGUGAAGUUGAAUGGAUGAGAGAUGAAUGCCUGAGAGAUAUAGUGUUUCGAGUUCGAGACAACGAGUUGUGUGGUCGCGAUCCGUUUCACAUGAUGGAAGCUGAAGACAAGCGUAGAUUUUUCGAAGGUCUCGAGAAGAAAGUCGAGAGAGAGAACGAAAAACUCCGUAAAGUGCACGAGUAUCUGCACGCAAACAUCGAAAAUCUUGAUUAUGGAGCAGGUAACCACCUCUUGUACUUUUAUCAUUUGCAUCACUCUUUGACAGCACAUCAAUAGCAGGGUAUCAUUUAUGUCUUGCUGCAGUAAGUUAUUGAGCAUGUUGCCAUUCUUGAUCGAAAUAUUAUCAGUUACCUUUAAAUGAUGUUCCAUUCUAGUACAUAGACAUGAUAGUAAGUUGUAUGGUAGGGAUGAUUGUAGAGCUGAUUUACAUGUUGUUAUGCCCGUGUCGUAGAUGGCAUCAGUCUGUACGACACACCAGAAAAGUUCAUGCCGCGUUGGAAAGGUCCCUCGUUCGAAAGGAGCCCCGAGUUUCUUGAUAAUGUAAUACAAAGGGAUGCCACGAAGAAUAACAAACUCCAUAUAGACGCAGAAUCGAAGUUGGCCAACAGUGCCAACCUUUCUUCAGCAAACCAUGUAUUGAGAAAGCACAUCAACAAAAAGGAUCCAAAAGUAUCCAAGGUAGUUAUAGAAGGCAGCGAUGGAUCCGCCAGACCUGGCAAAAAA